AGGAAUAUUGCUCAAUGGGCGAAAUCCUGAAGCAGCAACGCCGCGUGGAGGAUGAAGGGUCUAUGACUUGUAAACUCCUGUAAAGAAGGAAAAAAUUCCCAUUAGAUGGGAGAUGAUGGUACUUCUGGAGUAAGCCCCGGCUAACUACGUGCCAGCAGCCGCGGUAAUACGUAGGGGGCAAGCGUUGUCCGGAUUUACUGGGUGUAAAGGGUGCUCAGGCGGAUUUGUAAGUCAGAGGUGAAAUCUUACAGCUUAACUGUGAAACUGCCUUUGAUACUGCAAGCCUAGAGUAUGGAAGAGAGUGAUGGAAUAUCUGGUGUAGCAGUGAAAUGCGUAGAUAUCAGAUAGAACACCAAUGGCGAAGGCAGUCACUUGAGCCAUUACUGACGCUAAAGCACGAAAGCGUGGGUAGCAAACA
rnacentral:rRNA from 1 species